UCCUUCUUAGCUCAGUUGGUAGAGCGCGUCACUAGUACUGUUCCCUCCCGUCGAUUUGACCCACGGACUGUGAUGACGAGGUCAGUCGUUCAAGUCGGCUAGAAGGAA
rnacentral:tRNA from 1 species